UGGCUCAGGACCGAACGCUGGCGGCGUGCCUAAUACAUGCAAGUCGAACGCGUUUCCGUUAUUGAUUUUAGGUGCUUGCAUUUAAAUGAUUUAACACGAAACGAGUGGCGAACUGGUGAGUAACACGUGGGUAACCUGCCCUUGAAGUAGGGGAUAACACUUGGAAACAGGUGCUAAUACCGUAUAACAACCAAAACCACAUGGUUUUGGUUUAAAAGAUGGCUUCGGCUAUCACUUUAGGAUGGACCCGCGGCGUAUUAGCUUGUUGGUAAGGUAAUGGCCUACCAAGGCAAUGAUACGUAGCCGACCUGAGAGGGUAAUCGGCCACAUUGGGACUGAGACAC
rnacentral:rRNA from 2 species